UCUUCACAUUCAUUGUUGGGCAGUUUUUUAUAAUUGGUCAACUGAGUACAGACCGUAUGGUUUUCCUACAAAAACCUCGGCUUAACCAACAAGUAGAGCCCAAGUCUGCUUGCAGUGAAAAAUAUGGUGCAAAUCCCAUCCUUUCAUUAUGGCACAGAGAAGCUCUAUUUAUUGCUACUUUAAAAAACAUAUUAUUCACCUAGGUUUCUCGGAAUGCCUUUUAAUUUUCUAAGAAAAUACAAGUACAUUCACCUUU
rnacentral:lncRNA from 1 species